GAAAGUAAAGAAGGGCGCAUGGCGGAUGCCUUGGCUCUCGGAGGCGAUGAAGGACGUGAUAAGCUGCGAUAAGCUUUGGGGAGGUGCAAAUGACCUUUGAUCCAGAGAUUUCCGAAUGGGACAACCCAAUAUCUUGAAGAGGUAUUAUCCAACGUUGUUGGAGGCUAACGCAGGGAACUGAAACAUCUUAGUACCUGCAGGAAAAGAAAAUAAACAAUGAUUCCCCCAGUAGUGGCGAGCGAACGGGGAACAGCCCAAACCAUCCAUGUUACGGCAUGUGUGGGGUUGUAGGACUACGCCAUUGCAUGAAGACAUCAGAGAAGAACUUUCUGGAAAGAAAGACCAUAGAGCAUGACAGUUGCGUAUUCGAAUGUUGUCGAAGCAUAGUAGUAUCCUGAGUAGCGCGGAGCACGAGGAAUUCUGCGUGAAUCUGCCGGGACCAUCCGGUAAGGCUAAAUACUCCCGAGAGACCGAUAGCGAACCAGUACCGUGAGGGAAAGGUGAAAAGCACUUCGAACAGAAGAGUGAAAUAGUUCCUGAAACCGUGCGCCUACAAGCGGUCGGAGCUCGUUAAUGAGUGACGGCGUGCCUUUUGCAUAAUGAACCUACGAGUUGCCUUUGCCGGCAAGGUUAAGUGUGACGACACACGUAUCCGAAGCGAAAGCGAGUCUGAACAGGGCGUAUAGUCGGCAGUGGCAGACGCGAAACCAAGUGAUCUACCCUUGGCCAGGUUGAAGGCUGGGUAACACCAGCUGGAGGACCGCACCAAUAAGCGUUGAAAAGCUUCUGGAUGAGCUGAGGGUAGGGGUGAAAGGCUAAUCAAACUUGGAGAUAGCUCGUACUCCCCGAAAUGCAUUUAGGUGCAGCCUUGCGGGUUACUGAUGUGAGGUAGAGCGACUGAUAAGAUGCGAGGGCUUCACCGCCUAUCAAGUCUUGACAAACUCCGAAUGCGCAUCAGUUCUACCGCAGGAGUGAGGGCAUGGGUGCUAAGGUCCGUGCCCGAGAGGAGAAGAAUCCGGACCACCUGCUAAGGUCCCGAAAUGACAGCUAAGUUAAACUAACGAAGUCUGACUGCUAAGACAGCUAGGAUGUUGGCUUGGAAGCAGCCAUUCAUUUAAAGAGUGCGUAACAGCUCACUAGUCGAGGAGUCGGGCGUGGAUAAUAAUCGGGUAUUAAGUUGUCUACCGAAGCAGUGGGAUCAUUAAUAUGAUCGGUAGGGGAGCAUUCCAGUCAGCGUCGAAGGCGUACCGUGAGGUAUUCUGGAGCGUCUGGAAAAGCAAAUGUAGGUAUAAGUAACGAUAAAGGGGGCGGGAAACCCCCUCGCCGAAAGACUAAGGUUUCCUGAUCAACGCUAAUCGGAUCAGGGUCAGUCGGGUCCUAAGGCUCAGCCGAACGGCGAUGCCGAUGGCAGAAACGGUUAAUAUUCCGUUACUACCUUCAGGAGUGACGUGGAGACGCAGUAGUGACAGUGCCGCCAUCUGACGGAAUAGAUGGUUGAAGGGUGUAGGAGUCGAUCAUGGCAGGCAAAUCCACCAUGAGAUCCGAACCUGACAGUAUGCCGCGUCCUUCGGGACAAGGCAAUAGUGCGCGUAAGCAUGCUGCCGAGAAAAUCCGCUAAACUUAAUCCUGCAGGUACCCGUACCGCAAACGGACACACGUAGUCGGGAUGAAUAUUCUAAGGCGCUUGAGUGAUUCACGGUUAAGGAACUAGGCAAACUGACCCUGUAACUUCGGGAUAAAGGGUCCCUACCCUUUUAUGGGAGGGCGCAGAGAAUCGGUCCAGGCAACUGUUUAACAAAAACACAGGGCUGUGCCAAAUCGAAAGAUCCAGUAUACAGCCUGACACCUGCCCGGUGCUGGAAGGUUAAGAGGAGAUGUCAUCGAUAAGAGAAGCGUUGAAUUGAAGCCCCAGUAAACGGCGGCCGUAACUAUAACGGUCCUAAGGUAGCGAAAUUCCUUGUC
rnacentral:rRNA from 1 species